CACGUCUGGCAGCGCUUCUCCUUCCUCCGGAUCCUGUCCUGUUUUGGGCAGAAUAAAUACGGAGCAGCCUGUAGUUCGAUGUGCUCUGCGCUCAUCUGCUCCUGACUGAUUUUGUUCGUGGAUUGCUCUGCGUUCCUCCGUCUUCCCUGUCGCCUGGCAGCUGCCCCGGAAGUUGUCGCCGGGGCCGGUUUAGCUCCGGUAAAGUCGCCGCCGGACACCGCGGGUCCCGCAGCGGGCGGGACUAAGACUCCACGGGUGAGCGUUAGUAGAGCAGCCGGGCGUGAAUGAAGCUCCUGGUAGAGGAGGAGCCCAGAAAGAGAUACCAGUCAAAAAUGGAAAUUGAAGACUAUAAUGGGCGAUCUUAUAUGUCAGCUGGCGACUCAUCUCUGGAAAAGGAUUUCUCCGAAGCCUUGAUUGGACCCACUGUAAGCACGCCAAACAGCAGGCACUCAUCCCCAAGACGUUCGCUUAGUGCAAACUCUAUAAAGGUAGAAAUGUACAGUGAUGAUGAGUCUGGGCAUCAUCUCAACCAUGAAGACCGGCUAAGUGAGAAAGAAGAUGGGGCCAUGCCUGACGACUCGCUGGUCGAGCCUCUUGGGUACUGCGAUGGCCCUGGACAAGAUCCCCAUUCUCCAGGAGGCAUCCGCCUACCCAAUGGCAAGCUGAAGUGUGACAUUUGUGGGAUGGUCUGCAUUGGUCCUAAUGUGCUGAUGGUGCAUAAACGAAGCCACACGGCACUCAGCGGGGACUUUAUGUUUGAUGCUGUUUCAGGUGAGCGGCCAUUUCACUGUAACCAGUGUGGUGCCUCCUUUACCCAGAAGGGGAACCUCUUACGUCACAUCAAACUGCACUCGGGUGAGAAGCCUUUCAAGUGCCCCUUCUGUAACUACGCUUGCCGUCGGCGGGAUGCAUUAACAGGUCACCUGCGCACGCACGCUGUCUCCUCCCCCACAGUCGGCAAGCCCUACAAGUGCAACUACUGCGGCCGCAGCUACAAGCAGCAGAACACACUGGAGGAGCACAAGGAGCGCUGCCACAACUACUUGCAGAGCCUCGGCAACGAAGGCCAGCACCUCUCUGCACAAUCAGGUGAGGAGAUACGAGACCUGGAUCUGGGACCAGAUGCCCUGAUGCACCAUUCCUCUGACCUGCCGUCUUUUAUGGAUCGGCUGGCGAGCAACCUCACAAAGCGCAAACGCUGCACACCUCAAAAAUUCCCGGGGGAGAAGCAGAUGCGACUUAGCCUUGCUGAACUUCCAUAUGACAUGAACUCGAGUUUUGAGAAGGACAUAGAGAUGGUUCCUCACCACCCUCUAGACCCUUCAUAUGGAAAUCCAUUAGCUUUUGUUGGCGGUCCAAUGCGAUUGCCACCUACAAACUGCAUCUCCGAAAUAACCCCAGUCAUUAGCUCAGUGUACACCCAACUGCAGCCUAUGUCAGGAAGGCCAGACAUGCCAGGCAACCGAGAAGCAGCAGAGGGCCACGAAGACAUACCAGACGGGACACAGAGUCAUUACAGAGGACGGACUGAGCACGGAGCUUCUCCUACUAAUGGCUGCCAGGACUCAACCACUGACACCGAAAGCAACCAUGAAGAGAGAGGCUCUCAAGCCACCAGCAGCCGGCAGAGUCCGGCAUAUGCCAAAGAGGAUCAAAGGCCACCUGAAUCAGGUGUGGUAAAUCCUUCCCGCUCUGGGCCUGGCACUGCCAAGGAAACCCUGCGGGUACUGGGGGAGGAUGGUGAGCAAGUGAAGGUAUUCAAGUGUGAGCACUGCCGUGUACUUUUCCUAGACCAUGUAAUGUUCACAAUCCACAUGGGAUGCCAUGGCUUUAGAGACCCUUUUGAGUGCAAUAUAUGUGGCUAUCACAGUCAGGACCGGUACGAGUUCUCAUCCCACAUUGUGAGAGGGGAACACAAGGUUUAACAGAAGGGUAGGGGGAAACUGAACUCUACCUCCCCUCUCCAAAAAUGGCUCAGAGACGCAGUCAGACCUUAAGGCUGGUGGAUAUUUACCACCUAAUUUUUCAAGAUUUUUGUGAGUUUGUUUUUUUUUUGUGUUUAUUUUCUUUUCUUUUUUUUUUCCAGUGAGAAUGGGCGGAACAUGGAAAUUUUAAGCACUUUUUAAUUGUUCCUUUUUUAUUGUUCAUGUCAUAAUUUAAUUUAGCACUACUGUAACUUGUUAUAGAAGAAGAAAAAAAUAUUUGUUCUCGGUGACCUACAAAUGCAAAUCUAGUGCUGGAUGUGUCACUGUGAGAAGCAUUAAAUGUGUAGGAGGAGGUUACAGUUACUGAUGGGGAAAGAACAAGGCACUACUGGAGCUUUGGGGAACACAAAUAACAGUUUGGCAAAUGCACUUAAUGCGCCUUGUUGCCUUUUGGGGGUACACUUAGCAUUGCCAAUGAUCAACACACGAGUUAAUGUAACCAGCCAACACCCGGUACCCCCAACUUGUUACAGGUAUUGAGCGUUGUUGUUAGGUUCGCCCUUUUUAUAAUGCUUGGUGUUUUUUUUUAUCACUUUAUGGUCUUCUAUUUUCAGAACUUGGUAAACUCUGAACAGCUUUGUAGACAUAGUGCUUCUCAUAGUAAUGGGCAAGUAUAGCACCUUAAGAAGAUAAGAGAACUCGCCCUCAAACCUCAUUACAGAAAGAAGUCCUUUUUUUUAAUUUUUUUUUUUUUUCUACUCUUUGCACUGACGGACUAUUUAUAGGUUGUUUUGAACAGAUGGAAAGAAAAAUAUUUCAGUUUUAUGGCUCCGUCAUGGAUCAGCAAAAACGCUUCCUUUACGGAUAAUACAACUGGCUGCAUCCAUUAUGAACAGAUCCGGUUGUAUUAUCUCUAAAAUAGCCAUGACGGAUUCGGCACUAAAACCAUUUGUAAGUCUGAGAAAAAACGGAUCCGGCACCAUUGACCUAAAUUAUGUUUCAUGUCGGAUCCGUCUUGCUCCGCAUCCCGUGCCGGACAGAAAAACGCUGCUUGCGAUGGGAACGCAACCAAAUGGAAUGGAGUGCAUUCCGUUCCAUUCAGUUUUGUCCCCGCUGACAAUGAAUACGGACAAAACUGAAGCGUUUUCCUCUGGUAUUGAGAUCCUAUGACGGAAAUCAAUAGCAGAAAGGAAAGCGCUAAUGUGAAAGUAGCCUAAGUUGUCCGAUCUUUCCUAUUUGAGUUGUACAUUAGCCUUCUAGUUUAUCUACCUGUAUGCUUUCCUUGGUGUAUUUAUUUUGUUCCUUUCCUGUGUAGCUGAGAAGGUUUUGCUUUUUUAUUAUGACCCUUUAUUCACUUCUUCUGGUUUAUUUUCUUGACCACCAUGUUUGUAGGUAAUACACUUUAUAGCUUCCCUUUACAGCAGUACAGUGUCCUCUACUUGUGGAAGGAGCUUGGGUCGACCUCUCAGUAAGUUAGCUCGCCAUCCGGUACGUGUGUCCUGAUAGCUUUAAAGCCUGCACAGAUAACAUGCUUUAUACAUUAAUGAGUAAAACUGUUGUGAAAUAUAUAACUGUUAUUAAACUUUUUGGUUUCCCUAAUAAAUCUAUAUUUUGUAGUGACAUCCUUCACUGUAUUUAUCACGGCCAUGGCCUAGCCUAGGAGAAAGGUUUCUAUGGUUUGUCUUGCCAUUGCCCUUCUUUUAGUAUUUUGUAUCUUGCAUAAUGUUGCCUGUAUCUUGUGUAUUUUAUACUUUAUGAUGAUACAUGCUGUUUCCUAAACUCCAGCAGCUAAGUGAUCUCUAUGGUGCAAACAACAAAUCCCUGUCGAGGAGAAAUCUAUUCCUUUCUUUGGGUUCAUUCCCAGACUUAAAACCAAAGGCUGUUUUUAACAUUUUUUUAAUAAACGAAGCAACACAGAACACCUCUGAAAUGAUUGUUUUAAUCUAAUCUUAUCUGUUAGUGGAAGUAGGUUGUUCUGUAUAUUUCUUCUGUUACGUAUCUGAACUAAUGCAAUGUGAAGUAUAUGAUUAUUUUAAGGGGAAGGUUUUCAAUGAGAAACUUAUUGGAUUGCACUUAUUCUAACCUGAAAAACCCACCGACAAUGCCCGAGCCCCUCAUACAGAGAUGACUUACUUGGUCCCCGAUGCCUGUGUCCUUCCGCAUC